GACCAAGGAGUCUAGCAUGUGCGCGAGUCAUUGGGACUUGUUAAACCUAAAGGCGCAAUGAAAGUAAAGGUCCGCGCUCGGCGCGGACCGAGGGAAGAUGGGCCCGUCCUCGGGCGGGCCCCGCACUCCCGGGGCGUCUCGUCCUCAUCGCGAGGAGAGGCGCACCCAGAGCGUACACGCUGGGACCCGAAAGAUGGUGAACUAUGCCUGGUCAGGACGAAGUCAGGGGAAACCCUGAUGGAGGUCCGUAGCGAUUCUGACGUGCAAAUCGAUCGUCGGAACUGGGUAUAGGGGCGAAAGACUAAUCGAACCAUCUAGUACGUGGUUCCUUCCGAA
rnacentral:rRNA from 1 species